rnacentral:rRNA from 1 species
GACGAACGCUGGCGGCGUGCCUAAUACAUGCAAGUCGUGCGGACCUUGUUGAAAGCUUGCUUUUAAAAGGUUAGCGGCGGACGGGUGAGUAACACGUGGGCAACCUGCCUGUAAGACUGGGAUAACGCCGGGAAACCGGGGCUAAUACCAGAUCGUUUUUUCCUCCGCAUGGAGGAAAAAGGAAAGGCGGCUUCGGCUGCCACUUACAGAUGGGCCCGCGGCGCAUUAGCUAGUUGGCGGGGUAAUGGCCCACCAAGGCAACGAUGCGUAGCCGACCUGAGAGGGUGAUCGGCCACAUUGGGACUGAGACACGGCCCAAACUCCUACGGGAGGCAGCAGUAGGGAAUCUUCCGCAAAGGACGAAAGUCUGACGGAGCAACGCCGCGUGAGUGAAGAAGGCCUUCGGGUCGUAAAACUCUGUUGCCGGGGAAGAACAAGUGCCGUUCGAACAGGGCGGCGCCUUGACGGUACCCGGCCAGAAAGCCACGGCUAACUACGU